CAGGGGACCGGCCAUGCGUGAGCCCGCGUCCCACAGCUCCUUGGGGUUGAGGGCCUGGUCUGAGCCUUGCUUUUGACCCCACCUGACCUCACCGUGCGUGCACGGGGGGCGCCUGGAGGUGGGCGGAGCAGAACAGGGCCCAGGCUUCUCCCGCGCCCUGCCCUGCCCUGCCCUGCCCUGCGCUGGCUACAUUACAGCGUCCUCAAUGUUGACCAUGUGUUGCUUCUGCCUCUUGGGGUGCAGGGGCCCCGGGCCCCCCUAAUGCCUCAGCCCCAGGCCCUGCACGGAAACCCCGGCCAGGCCCGGCCCGCAGCCGCCCAGCUCAGAUGACCGGAUGGCUUGCGGGGCACACCUGGCGCCGUCCCCAACCCCGCCCCUGGCCGGGCGGUACCCGGAAAACUGUCCGCCGGAGCCAGCGCGGCGAAGCAUGGCCAUGGCGGCGGCGCCGGCCGUGUGCGUCUCGCAGGGCCCCCCGCCCGGGGCCGCGUCCCCGCCGGCCGCCGCGCCCGCGCCCUCGUCGGGCCUGGGCCGCUGCCGCGUGGCGCUGCUGCUGGCCGUGGCGCUGGACGUGGCGGGCAUGGCGGCGCUGCUGACCGGCGUGUUCGCGCAGCUGCAGGUGCGCGGCCGCGACUUCGGCGACCUGCUCAUCUACUCGGGCGCGCUGCUCGUCUUCAUGAGCCUGCUGGGCUGGAUCCUCUGGUACACGGGCAACAUCGAGAUCUCCCGCCAGGAGCUCGAGCGCGACUACGGCCUGCGGCCCUCGGCGCUCGCCCGCCUGGCGCGCAAGCUGUCCCGCCGCUGGUCGGCGCCCGCCUCCUCCUCCGCCGGCCAGCGCGCCGCGCCCGGAGCCCGGGGAGCCUGCCGCGCCCCGCGCGCGCCCCAGCCCGGCGCCGGCUCCCGCCGCGUGCGCUUGCAGCUCGCCACGCUCGAGGCCGCGCCCGGGGCGCCGGGCACCGGCAGCUUGUGAGCCCGAGCCUGCACUCCUGUCCCCGAAGACCUGCCGUGGGUCCCCGUCGCCCUCUGGUGACACCCACUCCAGUCACAGACACGUGGGCCCGCUCUGUCUCUGCGCCACAUCUCCUGCCUUCUCUGUGGUCAUGACAACAUCCCUCAGACCACGACAGCCGGGCUCUCACGCCCGUUGGCGUCUGGCCCUGCUCUCCCUGCCGCAGGACUGGCCCUGCUCCACAGAACACUUCCCAUGCGUCCUUUAAGGUCCAACUCAACCUCGCUGCCUUUCCCUGGGUCUUCAUAUUACAAAGCCAAGGACGCACCUGAGAGGACCCGACUGGGAUGCCGCCGCCCCCACAUCACCUGGCCACCGGGAUGCCGCCCUGCGCUCCUUUGUCACCCCCAUAAAUGACUGCUUCCUA